rnacentral:rRNA from 1 species
UACAGAGGAGCCAAGCGUUGUCCGGAUUGACUGGGCGUAAAGCGCACGCAGGCGGUGGCGCGCGUGGGGUGUGAAAUCUGGCCGCUUAACGGCCAGGCGCCAUCCCAUACGGCGCGACUGGAGGGCUGCAGAGGUCGAUGGAAUUGCCGGUGUAGUGGUGAAAUGCGUAGAGAUCGGCAGGAACACCCAGGGGGGAAACCAGUCGACUGGGCAGCACCUGACGCUGAGUGUCGAGACGCGGUAGGGGCGAGCUGGGAACCGGAUGACGAAA